GCCGGGCGCGGUGGCUCGCGCCUGUAAUCCUGCCACUUUGGGAGGCCGAGGUGGGUGGAUCACCUGAGGUCAGGAGUUCGAGACCAGCCUGACCAACACGGUAGAACCCCAUCUCUA
rnacentral:SRP_RNA from 2 species